rnacentral:rRNA from 1 species
UACGGAGGGUGCAAGCGUUGUCCGGAAUCACUGGGCGUAAAGGGCGCGUAGGCGGCUCGGUAAGUAGGGGGUGAAAUCCUGCGGCUCAACCGCAGGGCUGCCUUCUAAACUGUCGAGCUCGAGCACGGUAGAGGCAGAUGGAAUUCCCGGUGUAGCAGUGGAAUGCGUAGAGAUCGGGAAGAACAUCAGUGGCGAAGGCGGUCUGCUGGGCCGUUGCUGACGCUGAGGCGCGACAGCGUGGGGAGCAAACAGG